rnacentral:rRNA from 1 species
GUGUCAGCCGCCGCGGUAAUACGUAGGGUGCAAGCGUUAAUCGGAAUUACUGGGCGUAAAGCGUGCGCAGGCGGUCUUGCAAGACAGGUGUGAAAUCCCCGGGCUUAACCUGGGAACUGCACUUGUGACUGCAAGGCUGGAGUACGGCAGAGGGGGAUGGAAUUCCGCGUGUAGCAGUGAAAUGCGUAGAUAUGCGGAGGAACACCGAUGGCGAAGGCAAUCCCCUGGGCCUGUACUGACGCUCAUGCACGAAAGCGUGGGGAGCAAACAGGAUUAGAUACCCUGGUAGUCCACGCCCUAAACGAUGUCAACUGGUUGUUGGACGGCUUGCUGUUCAGUAACGAAGCUAACGCGUGAAGUUGACCGCCUGGGGAGUACGGCCGCAAGGUUGAAACUCAAAUGAAUUGACGG